GACGAACGCUGGCGGCGUGCUUAACACAUGCAAGUCGAACGGAAAGGCCCUGCUUUUGUGGGGUGCUCGAUUGGCGAACGGGUGAGUAACACGUGAGUAACCUGCCCUUGUCUUUGGGAUAACUUCAGGAAACUGGGGCUAAUACCCGAUAGGAGCUCCUGCUGCAUGGUGGUGGUUGGAAAGUUUCGGCGGUUGGGGAUGGACUCGCGGCUUAUCAGCUUGUUGGUGGGGUAGUGGCUUACCAAGGCUUUGACGGGUAGCCGGCCUGAGAGGGUGACCGGCCACAUUGGGACUGAGAUACGGCCCAGACUCCUACGGGAGGCAGCAGUGGGGAGUAUUGCACAAUGGGCGGAAGCCUGAUGCAGCAACGCCGCGUGCGGGAUGACGGCCUUCGGGUUGUAAACCGCUUUCGCCUGUGACGAAGCGUGAGUGACGGUAAUGGGUAAAGAAGCACCGGCUAACUACGUG
rnacentral:rRNA from 1 species